AGCAGAGCACAGCCAUUCCAUGCUUCGGAGGUUCCAGCACCUUCCAUGGUUCCAGCCUGGCCGUGGUGGAGCAGUGCCUGAGGGCAGAGGAGCUGCGGGCUCGGCACCAGGCAGUGCUCCUGCAGCUCCGGAGGAAGGCUCUGAGGGAGAGGGCCAGGGCCGAGUUGGCCUGGCUGGGCCAUCACAGACGUGUUCUGGAAAACCUGAAGGAUAGUACAGGAGCCUCUGCCAUGGCAGCAAAGCAGUACAAAAUCCUGAUGGAGCUGAAACGGGAGCAGGCAGAAAUCCAGCACCUGAAAAACAUCCACAGGGCAGCCCAUCAAGAAAGGAAGCUUUUAUUAAAGCAGCAGAGAGAAAUCUUAAUGAUGCAUCAUUCAACAGCACAACUCCAGGAAAAUCUGCACAGUUUGGCUGGGAAGCAGGAGGUUGUGAAGUCAGGGAGUCAAGACAAUUGUGUCCAGCUAAAGCAUAAAAAGAGCAAGAAAUAUGAGGGCUUUUCUACUGAGAACAAGGAAUCACUGGUACAACACCAGAAGCAGGUGAAGGAGUUGCCAGGUUUGGAGCAGUGCCUCAAUGCUCAGGAUGAUGUUUUCUUACCUCUGGAACCUACAAAUUCAGCUGGAAUGGAACCUAUAGCCACACUUCUUACAAGAAAAGGCCGAAAGUGUGUAUUUCUGGAAUCUGUGCUGGAGGAAAAGGCACUUCUUUCAAACCCUGAUCCUGAAGAUAAUGAAGAUAUUAAUCCAUGUGGCAGAAAGAGCCCAGUGAAAGGCUUGGGGAUGCUUCCUACUUGGUGUAACUUAUGCCUGGUUCAGGAGGAAAAUACUCUUGAAGGAACAGGUCAAUCAUAUUUAAUGCUAUUAUGUCCAAUCUGUUUCAACUACUUCAAUCAAAUUUUAAUCCAACAGAAAGAGAGACAAUCUUCUCAUUUAUUACCAAAGUGUCUUGCUCACUAUAGCCAAUGUAUAAAUCACUGCUGGGCAAGAUGGUGGGGAUCUCUCAGGGGUUUAUU
rnacentral:lncRNA from 1 species